GACGAACGUUGGCGGCGUGCUUAAUACAUGCAAGUCAACUGAAUCAGUGGUAGCAAUAUCGCUGUGGAGGUGGCGCACGGGUGAGUAACACGUAGGUAAUCUGCCUUCAGGUCUGGCAUAACUCCGGGAAACCGGGGCUAAUAGCAGAUGAUGCAGCGUCUCGACAUCGAGACAGUUGUUAAAGCUAUGUCGCCUGAAGAUGAGCCUGCGUCUGAUUAGCUAGUUGGCGGGGUAACGGCCCACCAAGGCAACGAUCAGUAGCUGGUCUGAGAGGAUGAUCAGACACACUGGAACUGAGACCCGGUCCAGACUCCUACGGGAGGCAGCAGUAAGGAAUAUUGAUCAAUGGGAGAAAUCCUGAAGCAGCAACGCGGCGUGAGGGACGAAGGGCUUUUGCUUGUAAAACUCUGUAGUGAGAGAAAAAAAUCCCACUCUUUGGGACAUGAUGGUAUCUCAAAAGUAAGCCCCGGCUAACUACGUG
rnacentral:rRNA from 1 species